CCCUUAGAUGUUCGGGGCCGCACGCGCGCUACACUGAAUGAAUCAGCGAGUGUAUGUCCUAGGCCGAAAGGUCCGGGUAACCCGUUGAACCUCAUUCGUGAUUGGGAUAGGGACUUGCAAUUGUUUCCCUUGAACGAGGAAUUCCCAGUAAGCGCAAGUCAUCAGCUUGCGUUGAUUACGUCCCUGCCCUUUGUACACACCGCCCGUCGCUACUACCGAUUGGGUGUGCUGGUGAAAUGUUCGGAUCGGCCGUUUGUCGCGGUUUCCGCGGCUCGUGGCUGAGAAGUUCAUUAAACCCUCCCACCUAGAGGAAGGAGAAGUCGUAACA
rnacentral:rRNA from 1 species